AAAGGGGAUCCUGCGCAAAGAAAGCCUCUAACAAGAGGAUGCAGGCUGCUAACUCUAAAAGAUUUGCUAUCGAGUACUUUCAAAAAAGGCUACAUUUCAUAAGCAUAAAAAUAUGCGAGAGAGAAAAGGAUAGAACUUAUGCUUUGACUUGAUUGAUAGCUCUUUUCUCUUAUACCUAUUCCAAGAUGAUAGAAUGCGUAUAGUAGUCCAACUCCAUUCGCCAUUCCCACCCGGGAAUUACUUCACUCCAGCGCCUCGUCAGUCUUCUUGCAUCUUUUCCAUCUUUGAAAAUCGACUAAGCGUUGCGCCAAUCCUACUUGUGAAGAGAACAGUCGUCAGGCUAUUGCAUAGUGAAGGAAGGUGUCUUGUCUUGGCCUAGGCCUACUUGUGUCAACUCCCAUAAAGUGCGAAAUAUCGUAUAUAAUGUGAUUAUUGUAUAUAUUGAUUUUUUUGAAUAAAAAGUAUAUGUACUUUAUUUAGUAUUUAAUCAUGAGGUUUCUCUUUUUCCUCAGGGAAAGGAUAUCCCUUUGCCAUUUGCUUGCGCUAGAUUUCCACUCCUUUUUGCACUUUUUAUCAUCAUCAUUUCAAUUUCUUUUCUGUUCUGAUUCAAUUUUCAGCUUUGGAAUCUUCUUCCUUCUUUGGCUCUCUUUUCUUUAUUAAUUAUCUAAUAAACUUCUCUCUUUAGAUAGAUUUUUCUUUUCAUAAUGUUUCCUUAUUAUUUUUCUUUUUUUCUAAAGCAAAAUUCUCCCUUCUAUCUAUCUUUAAUUGAAUUAUGGAAUUUUCUCCCCGAGCUGCAGAACUAAGAAGUCUAUUAGAAAGUUGAAUUAGCAACUUUUAAACCAAUUUUCAAGUGGAUGAGAUCGGUCGAAUGGUCUCAGUUGGAGAUGGAAUUACACGUGUUUAUGGAUUGAGAGAGAUUCAAGUUGGGGAAAUGGUUGAAUUUGCCAGCGGUGUGAAAGGACUAGCCUUGAAUCUUGAGAAUGAAAAUGUAGGGAUUGUUGUCUUUGGUAGUGAUACUGCUAUUAAAGAAGGAGAUCUUGUCAAGCGCGCUGGAUCUAUUGUGGAUGUUCCUGCGAGAAAGGCUAUUCUAGGGCGUGUCAUCGGUGGCUUUGGAGUACCUAUUGAUGGAAAGGGGUCACUAAGCGAUCAAGAGCGAAGACGCGUCGAAGUGAAAGCCCCUGGUAUUAUUGAACGAAAAUCUGUGCACGAGCCUAUGCAAACAGGGAUAAAAGUGGUAGAUAGCCUGGUUCCUAUAGGUUGUGGUCAACGAGAACUUAUAAUUGGGGACCGACAAACUAGAAAAACUACUAUUGCUAUCGAUACCAUAUUAAACCAAAAGCAACUGAACUCAAGGGCCACCUCUAAGAGUUAGACAUUGUAUUGUGUCUAUGUAGCGAUUGGACAGAAACGCUCAACUGUGGCACAAUUAGUUCAAAUUCUUUCAGAAGUGAAUGCUUUGGAAUACUCUAUUUUUGUAGCAGCCACUGCUUCGGAUCCUACGCCUCUACAAUUUUUGGCUCCAUAUUCUAGGUGUGCCAUGGGGGAAUAUUUAUGCGAUAAUGGAAUGCACACAUUAAUAAUCUAUGAUGAUCUUAGUAAACAGGCGGUAGCAUAUCGACAAAUGUCAUUAUUGUUACGCCGACCACCAGGUCGUGAUGCUUUCCCAUGGGAUGUUUUCUAUUUACAUUCUCGUCUCUUAGAAAGAGCAUCUAAACAAUUAGACCAGACAGGCACAGGUAGCUUGACCGCCUUACCCGUCAUUGAAACACAAGCUAGAGACGUAUCGGCCUAUAUUCCCACCAAUGUGAUCCCCAUUACUGAUGGACUAAUCUGUUUGGAAACAGAGCUAUUUUAUCAUGGAAUUGGACCUGCGAUUAACGUCAGCUUAUCUGUUAGUCACGUCGGGUCUGCCGCUCAGUUGAAAACUAUGAAACAAGUCUGCGGUAGUUCAAAACUAGAAUUGGCACAAUAUGCACCACUGCCAAUUGAAAAAGAAAUUCUAGUCAUUUAUGCAGCUGUCAAUUGAUUCUGUGAUCUAAUGCCACUAGACAGAAUUUCUCAAUAUGAGAGAGCCAUUCCAAAUAGUGUCAAACUAGAAUUACUACAAUCCUUUUUAGAAAAAGGUGGCUUAACUAAUGAAAGAAAUAUGGAACCAUAUAUAUUUUUAAAACAAAGUGCUUUAGCUUUUAUUUAAUACAAUACAAGGAAAGGAAAAAGGUCUCUUAGGGGUACCACAAAUAAUGGACUUACUAGUUCUUUUUCUAUCUAUGAAGUAGGACGAGUGUCCUACCUAAUUCAAUGCUACGUAACCAAGUUAGUAUCCUAGCAGAGCACUUGAAGGGGGGAACAUCCUAAUGGAUAAGUAUGAGCACGUUAUACAUCUCAUAUUAGACCCCCAGAAAAAAAAAACAAAAUAAAAAGCAAAAAUAGCUAAAAACAGCCUGCUUCCUUUAUCAUAUAUAUGAGAUGGGCGGGCAUUUUAAGCAAAAGGUGACCCACUAUCGGUUGUAGU
rnacentral:lncRNA from 1 species